rnacentral:rRNA from 1 species
UGGGGAGCAAACAGGAUUAGAUACCCUGGUAGUCCACGCCGUAAACGAUGAUUACUAGGUGUGGGGGGAUUGACCCCUUCCGUGCCGGAGUAAACACAAUAAGUAAUCCACCUGGGGAGUACGACCGCAAGGUUGAAACUCAAAGGAAUUGACGGGGGCCCGCACAAGCAGUGGAGUAUGUGGUUUAAUUCGACGCAACGCGAAGAACCUUACCAGGUCUUGACAUCAAGUGACCGCCUAAGAGAUUAGGCUUUCCCUUCGGGGACACAAAGACAGGUGGUGCAUGGUUGUCGUCAGCUCGUGUCGUGAGAUGUUGGGUUAAGUCCCGCAACGAGCGCAACCCUUAUCAUUAGUUGCUACGCAAGAGCACUCUAAUGAGACUGCCGUUGACAAAACGGAGGAAGGUGGGGAUGACGUCAAAUCAUCAUGCCCUUUAUGACCUGGGCUACACACGUACUACAAUGGCGUUUAACAAAGAGAAGCAAAGCCGCGAGGCAGAGCAAAUCUCCAAAAAACGUCUCAGUUCGGAUUGUAGGCUGCAACUCGCCUACAUGAAGUCGGAAUUGCUAGUAAUCGUAGGUCAGCAUACUACGGUGAAUACGUUCCCGGGCCUUGUACACACCGCCCGUCAAACCAUGAGAGUUGGCAACACCCGAAGUCGGUAGUCUAACCGCAAGGAGGACGCCGCCGAAGGUGGGGUUGAUGAUUAGGGUUAAGUCGUAACAAGGUAGCCGUAUCGGAAGGUGCGGCUG